GCUCCCUUAGCUCAGCUGGAUAGAGCAACGGAUUUCUAAUCCGUAGGUCGCAGGUUCGAGUCCUGCAGGGAGCG
rnacentral:tRNA from 2 species